UGGGGAAUAUUGGACAAUGGGCGAAAGCCUGAUCCAGCAAUGCCGCGUGAGUGAUGAAGGCCUUAGGGUUGUAAAGCUCUUUUACCAGGGAUGAUAAUGACAGUACCUGGAGAAUAAGCUCCGGCUAACUCCGUGCCAGCAGCCGCGGUAAUACGGAGGGAGCUAGCGUUGUUCGGAAUUACUGGGCGUAAAGCGUGCGUAGGCGGCCAUUCAAGUCAGAGGUGAAAGCCUGGAGCUCAACUCCAGAACUGCCUUUGAAACUAGAUGGCUAGAAUCUUGGAGAGGUGAGUGGAAUUCCUAGUGUAGAGGUGAAAUUCGUAGAUAUUAGGAAGAACACCGGUGGCGAAGGCGGCUCACUGGCUCGAUACUGACACUGAGGUGCGAAAGCGUGGGGAGCAAACAGGAUUAGAUACCCCGGUAGUCCCUGAGCGGGCUGGCAAGGCGCAU
rnacentral:rRNA from 1 species